GUUUACUUAAGGUGCAAGAAAUCAGUAGAUGAUUUGGACAUGGCAACAAUGGAAUCUCCCUCAUAGAUACGCCCAUAUAGAACUCCCCUUGAUAAAGGAUGAUCGGUUGCUCGGUACAUGCCAGUUGAAGGACUGAGGGUGAAAUUCUGAAUGUGCCUCCAUGCUCCAACAGGAAGAAGGCGGCCUUUACUCUCCAUAACACUCACAGCUUCAUCGGAUAGCACCAUCUCGAGGGUGUCCCCGUGCACUGGGUUGUACUGCUUCCAAGAGUGCAGAACCUUCACAUGUACUUUCCAGCCACUCUUGAAGGGUUUCACAUCUUUCAAAGGGGUCACUUUCAUUGCGGCAGACAUUUUUUUUUUUGAUUGCUAAUGUAGUUGUGAGUAAAUGUGAGAAAGCUUAGGCAUGUUGUAGGUGUUUAUAUCGCAGUAGGUUAAUCGAUGGUUCUAAAUGUCUGGUUAAAAAAUAUCUCUCGUAUAUUCUUAAUUCAAUAUAGGAAACCCUUAGAGUAUUGAUCAA